rnacentral:rRNA from 1 species
GACGAACGCUGGCGGCGUGCUUAACACAUGCAAGUCGUACGGUAAGGCCCUUUCGGGGGUCCACGAGUGGCGCACGGGUGAGUAACACGUGAGUAACCUGCCCACAACUUUGGGAUAACGCUAGGAAACUGGUGCUAAUACUGGAUAUGUGCUCCUGCUGCAUGGGGGGGGUUGGAAAGCUCCGGCGGUUGUGGAUGGACUCGCGGCCUAUCAGCUUGUUGGUGGGGUAGUGGCCUACCAAGGCGGCGAGGGGUAGCCGGCCUGAGAGGGUGACCGGCCACAUUGGGACUGAGAUACGGCCCAGACUCCUACGGGAGGCAGCAGUGGGGAAUAUUGCACAAUGGGCGCAAGCCUGAUGCAGCAACGCCGCGUGCGGGAUGACGGCCUUCGGGUUGUAAACCGCUUUCAGCAGGGACGAAGCUUUUUGUGACGGUACCUGCAGAAGAAGCACCGGCUAACUACGUG